rnacentral:rRNA from 11 species
CCCCACUUUAGAGGGAUCCAAAAGGCACUCAAUCCCAGCUGAUGUCAGAAGCUAAGCAGGGUCAGCCCCGGUUGGCACUUGGGUGGGAGACCGUCAAGGAAUCCCAGGCGCCGUAGGCU